rnacentral:rRNA from 1 species
UUAGCAUGCAGUCGAACGGCAGCGGGGAGCAAUCUCCGCGAGAGUGGCGAACGGGUGAGUAACACGUGGGUGACCUGGCCCAGUCUUGGGGAUAGCCUGUGGAAACAUGGGGUAAUACCGAAUAGAUCCGGAGGGGUAAAGACCUUUGGGGAAAGGCGCGGACGCGCCGGACGGGGAUGGGCCCGCGGCCCAUUAGUUAGUUGGCGGGGUAAAGGCCCACCAAGGCGACGAUGGGUAGCCGGCCUGAGAGGGUGGACGGCCACACUGGGACUGAGAGACGGCCCAGACUCCUACGGGAGGCAGCAGCUAAGAAUCUUCCGCAAUGGCCGAAAGGCCGACGGGGCGACGCCGCGUGGACGAAGAAGGCCGCAAGGUUGUAAAGUCCUUUUUUCCGUGAAGAAUAAGUGGGGGAGGAAAUGCCCCUGUGAUGACGUUAGCGGAGGAAUAAGCCCCGGCUAAUUACGUGCCAGCAGCCGCGGUAAUACGUAAGGGGCGAGCGUUGUUCGGAAUUAUUGGGUGUAAAGGGCGCGUAGGCGGCUCCGUAAGUCCGGUGUCAAAGGUGGCGGCCCAACCGCCGCAGUGCGCUGGAAACCGCGGAGCUUACGAGUUUAGGAGGGGGAGCUGGAAUUCCAGGUGUAGGGGUGAAAUCUGUAGAUAUCUGGAAGAACACCGGUGGCGAAGGCGGGCUCCUGGCCAUAGACUGACGCUGAGGCGCGAAAGCGUGGGGAGCGAACAGGAUUAGAUACCCUGGUAGUCCACGCCGUAAACGAUGUACACUAGGCGUGCGCGCAGGAGCGUGCGUGCCGAAGCGAACGCGAUAAGUGUACCACCUGGGGAGUAUGCCGGCAACGGUGAAACUCAAAGGAAUUGACGGGGGCCCGCACAAGCGGUGGAGUAUGUGGUUUAAUUCGAUGAUACGCGAGAAACCUUACCAGGUUUGACAUCGCGGCGAGUCAUGGGAGACCAUGGCGCCCUGCAAAGGGGCCCGCGACAGUGCUGCAUGGCUGUCGUCAGCU